AGCUCCAAUAGCGUAUAUUAAAGUUGUUGCAGUUAAAAAGCUCGUAGUUGGAUCUCAGAGCUGGCGUGUGCGGUCUCCCGCAAGGGAUGUCUACUGCAUAGCCGGGUCCUUCCUCAUGGAUCCCUCCUCGGUGUUAUUGACUUAAUGCCGGUGAGUCCGUGUCGUUUACUUUGAAAAAAUUAGAGUGUUCAAAGCAGGCCUUUACGCCUGAAUAAUGGUGCAUGGAAUAAUGGAAUAGGACCUCGCAGCUAUUUUGUUGGUUUUCAGUAGUCGGGGUAAUGAUUAAGAGGGACAGGCGGGGGCAUUCGUACUCUGGCGUUAGAGGUGAAAUUCUUGGAUCGCCAGAAGACGAGCUACUGCGAAAGCAUUUGCCAAGUAUGUUUUCAUUAAUCAAGAACGA
rnacentral:rRNA from 1 species